CAGCAGCCGCGGUAAUACGUAGGGUGCGAGCGUUGCCCGGAUUUAUUGGGCGUAAAGGGCGCGCAGGCGGCCACGCACGUCCGUUGUGAAAUCGCCCGGCUCAACUGGGCGGGGUCAGCGGAUACGGCGUGGCUGGAGCAAGCUAGGGGGCAAUGGAAUUCCCGGUGUAGUGGUGGAAUGCGUAGAUAUCGGGAGGAACACCAGUGGCGAAGGCGGUUGCCUGGAGCUUUGCUGACGCUGAGGCGCGAAAGCGUGGGGAGCGAUCCGGAUUAGAUACCCGGGUAGUCCACGCCGUAAACGAUGUCGACUAGGUGUCGGGGGUAUCGACCCCCUCGGCGCCGGAGCUAACGCAUUAAGUCGACCGCCUGGGGACUACGGCCGCAAGGCUAAAACUCAAAGGAAUUGACGG
rnacentral:rRNA from 1 species